ensembl:lncRNA
UGGGUGAGAAUCUUGGAAUGGAUUGGAGGGAAAAGAACCCAAGAUGCUGCUUGCUAAUAAGUUCAAUUAUAUCCCAUUUUUGUACCCAGCUAUGUGAUUGCUUAAAAACUUUUUAGUUUAAAAUUCUAAUGGCUGUGAAACAUGCCAGACUGACAACGAUGGAGACUGAAGCUCAGUAUUUAUUCAUUGAACAAGUACAGAUAGAAGUAGUGCAUACCAUCCUGCCCACAGGAGCGGUGCCAGGGUUUUUGCUGCCCUAGGCGGUUGCGCCCCUGCUCAGAGCAUUCGGCGACGGGGGUCCUUCCGCUCCACGUCUUCGGGGUGCUUCGGCGGUGGGUCCCGAAGCGAGUGAAGGACCCGCCGCCGAAUUGCCGCCGGGGAUGGCAAAAUGCCACCCCCCAAAUCCUGCCACCCUAGGCAACCGCCUAGGGUCGCCUAAUGGAAGUGCCAGUCCUGCCUGCCCACUCCCUGGUUCAUUGAUACAUUAUUUCUUAGCAUAAGCUCAGGGAACACAGUUAGAUUUGAAGCUGUACAAAUAAGAAAUCUGCUUAGUUGGAAUCCAAGAAUGAAAUUAAAAUAUCUGUGGGACUCUUCCUUAGUUUUUCUUUUGUACUUAUAAUCAUAUUUAAUUAUGUUUCUUUUUAUCCUUUAAUCUUCCCCUUUAUCCUUUUGAUUUUACAUCACUAGAAUGAACUCAUUCUCAAUAGAUUAAGAAUCUAAAGAAAGAAUGUGAAAUACAGAUUUUUCAUUGCUAGGUUAUUAUUGAAUAAGAUAAAAGUCUAAAAAUAUAUGGAGUACAUUUUUAAAAAGCUAAUGAAACUCUUGAUAGUAAAAAUGUUACAAUAGAAUAAAAGUCCAGCUCUGUGCUUCUAGAAUCCAGGCAUUGCAACCUCUCCCAUGAAUAAUGUUAGCAGCCACUGAACCUGAGUUAUGCGACAGGAAAGAUGGAAUCCAGAGAUGCCCUUCAAGUGACGACUACAAUCAGUGUCACAAACCUAGCAACUGCAAUUUCCACUUCAAAAAUAAAAAAAUCUAAGUUCCAGACAAGGAAAAAAAAGACUUUGGACUAGCUCCUCAGCUGCUACAAGUAAAUAUAGCUUCAUAAUCACCAAUACCACAUCUGAGCCAAUUUACUUGAGCCGAAUCUGAACUGCUUAGAAAUUCCAUUGUCAGAUUUGUUCACAUCAUUUGUUUUUGCUUUUUCUUCCACCUUUGCUUCUGACUCAGUAUAGUAAUUAUAAUUAUUUUACAAUACUUGAAAGUCCUCAAU